AAUUAGCUCAGUUGGCAGAGCAUUGGAUUCAAAACCCAAAGGUCGCAAGUUCAAAUCUUGUAUU
rnacentral:ncRNA from 12 species